UGAGGCAGGAGAAUUGCUUGAACCCGGGAGGUGGAGGCUGCAGUGAGCCGAGAUCACGCCACUGCACUCCAGCCUGGGCGACAAAGCGAGACUCUGUCUUGGA
rnacentral:miRNA from 10 species